GACGAACGCUGGCGGCGUGCCUAAUACAUGCCAGUUGAGCGCUGAAGGUUGGUACUUGUACCCACUGGAUGAGCAGCGAACGGGUGAGUAACGCGUGGGGAAUCUGCCUUUGAGCGGGGGACAACAUUUGGAAACGAAUGCUAAUACCGCAUAAAAACUUUAAACACAAGUUUUAAGUUUGAAAGAUGCAAUUGCAUCACUCAAAGAUGAUCCCGCGUUGUAUUAGCUAGUUGGUGAGGUAAAGGCUCACCAAGGCGAUGAUACAUAGCCGACCUGAGAGGGUGAUCGGCCACAUUGGGACUGAGACACGGCCCAAACUCCUACGGGAGGCAGCAGUAGGGAAUCUUCGGCAAUGGACGAAAGUCUGACCGAGCAACGCCGCGUGAGUGAAGAAGGUUUUCGGAUCGUAAAACUCUGUUGGUAGAGAAGAACGUUGGUGAGAGUGGAAAGCUCAUCAAGUGACGGUAACUACCCAGAAAGGGACGGCUAACUACGUG
rnacentral:rRNA from 1 species